rnacentral:rRNA from 1 species
GAUGAACGCUAGCUACAGGCUUAACACAUGCAAGUCGAGGGGCAGCAUUUUGAAAGCUUGCUUUCAAAGAUGGCGACCGGCGCACGGGUGAGUAACGCGUAUCCAACCUUCCCCUUAGUAGGGCAUAGCCCGGUGAAAAUCGGAUUAAUACCCUAUGUUCUUCGUAGAGGACAUCUGAAAUGAAGCAAAGGUUCACCGCUAAGGGAUGGGGAUGCGUUUGAUUAGGUAGUAGGCGGGGUAACGGCCCACCUAGCCGACGAUCAGUAGGGGUUCUGAGAGGAAGGUCCCCCACAUUGGAACUGAGACACGGUCCAAACUCC